rnacentral:rRNA from 1 species
AACAGGAUUAGAUACCCUGGUAGUCCACGCCCUAAACGAUGUCAACUGGUUGUUGGGAGGGUUUCUUCUCAGUAACGUAGCUAACGCGUGAAGUUGACCGCCUGGGGAGUACGGCCGCAAGGUUGAAACUCAGAGGAAUUGACGGGGACCCGCACAAGCGGUGGAUGAUGUGGUUUAAUUCGAUGCAACGCGAAAAACCUUACCUACCCUUGACAUGCCAGGAAUCUUGCAGAGAUGUGAGAGUGCUCGAAAGAGAACCUGGACACAGGUGCUGCAUGGCCGUCGUCAGCUCGUGUCGUGAGAUGUUGGGUUAAGUCCCGCAACGAGCGCAACCCUUGUCAUUAGUUGCUACGAAAGGGCACUCUAAUGAGACUGCCGGUGACAAACCGGAGGAAGGUGGGGAUGACGUCAGGUCAUCAUGGCCCUUAUGGGUAGGGCUACACACGUCAUACAAUGGCCGGGACAGAGGGCUGCCAACCCGCGAGGGGGAGCUAAUCCCAGAAACCCGGUCGUAGUCCGGAUCGCAGUCUGCAACUCGACUGCGUGAAGUCGGAAUCGCUAGUAAUCGCGGAUCAGCUUGCCGCGGUGAAUACGUUCCCGGGUCUUGUACACACCGCCCGUCACACCAUGGGAGCGGGUUCUGCCAGAAGUAGUUAGCCUAACCGCAAGGAGGGCGAUUACCACGGCAGGGUUCGUGACUGGGGUGAAGUCGUAACAAGGUAACC